UCGCACCUACCGAUUGAAUGAUCCGGUGAAGAUUUCGGACCGUGCCGCUGGUCUCUGACCGACGAUAUGGGAAGUUAUCUAAACCUCAUCAUUUAGAGGAAGGUGAAGUCGUAACAAGGUUUCCGUAGGUGAACCUGCAGAAGGAUCA
rnacentral:rRNA from 1 species